CCCGAGGCGGGGGAGGGGGAAGGAGGAGAAGGUGUGCGAGGCGGAGCUCGAGCCCAGGCGAGGGGAGUCGAGAAGCCGAGCGCAUCGAUCGUGCUCACCUAAGCUAGGGGAGCGUGUGCCGGGGCAGAGGGACAGGGAUGAUAAUAGAAUCACCGGACCUCAUCCAACAGGAAUCCUUUCAGCUUUAUCUCCCCCCUCCAAAAAAAAAUACUAAAGCAGCCGUCUACUGAAGACUCCUUCCCUCCUCCUCCGGAAGAAGCCCGUUCACAAUCAAGCAGGAAGCAUUUAUUAAGCGCCUACUGUGUGCCCAGCGCUGUGCUAAUCGCCCAAGGGCAAGAGGGUCCCUGCGCUCUGGGAACUCAAGGUGUUAUCCACAAAACAAAUGUCUGUAUUAUCAUAGUGCAUAUAGAGUUGAAUAUCUGAUGGGGGAGAAAACACGCAAACAACUAUGCACAAAGAAGAUAUGUACAAGCCAGUGCAAGGAAAGUGGGGAGAGAGAGAGAGAUGGACAGGCAGGUACAUAGAUGGAAAUAGGUAGAUGUGGACAUAGAUAUAGAUCGGUAGAAACAGAGAUGGACAGGUAGGUAGGUAGACAGGUACAUAGGUAGAGACACAGAUAAAAAUAGACAAUAGAGAUAGAAAGAAAGAACUAUUAAGUGCUUGCCACGUUCCAGGCAUCAUACUAGUUUUAUCUCAACAUGAAACUGCCUUUGGCUUCUCAGGCACCUUACAAAACUGCUCCCAGUUCUGCCCUCAGGGGCCAAGCUGGAUGAAUCUAAUCCCAUAUGAUUCCACAUGACAGCCUUUCAAUAUUUGAAUACAGCUGUCCUAUGCCCCCCUAAAUCUUCUCUUUUUUUCAUUCUUGCACUACUCACUUGACUUUUGGUAGGAAACUGUUUCCUAAACUUAAAAGGGCUUGGGGUUACUGGAGAGAAUAGGAAUGCCAUAUCAUCAUUACCUCUUUUAUAGGACUUAGAGCUGAAAAAGUCCAUAAAGAUCAUCAAGGCCAGACGUUUUUUUUUGGUAGUGAAUCUUUUUGUCAGUCUGAUAAAACCUAUGGACUUUCUCACAAUAAUGUUUUUAAAUGCAUAAAAUAAAAUAAAAUAAAAUAAAAAAUGCAUAAAAUAAAAUACAUAGGAUUACAAAGCAAAUGAAUUGUAAUUAGUUAGCAAAAAGACUUUUUUUAAUUUUAAAAAACAAGUUCAUGGGCCCCAGGUUAAAAAUGAAUUUAAAACCCAAAGGAACUUUAAAAAGUCACUCCCUAGCUCAGUCUCAGCUUCCAUAUCUAUAAAAUGGUGGGGAGGGACCUAUACAAACAUUCCUUACUUCUCAAGGUUCUUGUAGAAAAGUUAUUUGUAAACCAUAUAGUACGAUAGAAAUUUGAGUUGUCUUUUUACUACAUGUUGAGUUUUUUCUGUUUUUUACCUGGAACCAGGUAUCCACCACACUUCUCAACUCCAGGCUCUAAACCGAGCUGCAUUAUGAGUAAGCCCCAACCAAUUGCCAACUGCCUUUAUAUGUUGUGUUCCCUCCAUUAAUAAUAGAAGCUCCCUGACAUGGCGGACUGUCUUACUUGUAUUUGUGUCCCCAAUACAUAGCACAGUUCCUGCCUGGCACACAGUCAAUUCUCAGUAAUUGUUUUAUCUGUCUAUCUACAAGAGAAGUUCUUCUGCCUCAACUUUAGGGUAGUGGUUAGCAAUAGUCUGGGAGUAAGGAAGUCAUAGUUUGAAGUCCUUCCUCUAACAUUGACUCUGGGAACCUGCCUGGCAAGUCACUUAACCUCCUAGUGCCACAACUCUCUAAGCCCUUAAAUUGAAGAACCAAGUGCUGUUCUCCAUUGCUAAAGGGAAUUCUUCACCUGGAGCUCCCUAUACCAAUAAAAUCACAAGUAUGGUUAAAAAAAAUA